UACGGAGGGAGCUAGCGUUGUUCGGAUAUACUGGGCGUAAAGCGCACGUAGGCGGCGCAGCAAGUCAGGGGUGAAGUCCCGGAGCUCAACUCCGGAACUGCCUUUGAAACUGCAGUGCUAGAAUUCUGGAGAGGCGAGUGGAAUUCCGAGUGUAGAGGUGAAAUUCGUAGAUAUUCGGAAGAACACCAGUGGCGAAGGCGACUCGCUGGACAGAUAUUGACGCUGAGGUGACG
rnacentral:rRNA from 1 species